AUGGGUGACUAGUGGCAGAGUGAGGGAGGGAAGGGGUGACUAGUGACAGAGUGAGGGGAUGACUGGUGACAGAGUGAGGGGGGGGUGACUGUCACCAGUCACCCCAUCCCUCUCUCUGUCACUAGUUACUCCCUCCCUAACUCUGUCACUGUGUCACCCACUCCCUCACUCUGUCACUAGUCACCCCCUUACUCUGUCACUGUGUUACCCCCUCCCUCACUCUGUCACUAAUCACCCCCUCUCUCCCUAGUCACCCCCUUCCUCACUCUGUCACUAGUCACCCCAU